AUAUUUAACUAACAAUAAUAAUUAAAUAAUUCAUACAUUGCGCUUACACGUACCGCUAUACCAAAUGUGUUUGGUUUCAACUAAAGAGGAAUUGUUUAAGUUUAUGCGAAGUCGAAAUUUAGCGAUAGCGCGAUUUUUAAUUAACAACGGCAACGUAGCGGCGUGACCGAACUGCCAUGCUUUCUUCCCGAUGGGAGUGCGCGGCGCUUUGAGUCGAGUCGUGUCAGUCGGUUUUAAUGUUUUAAUUGAAGGGGUUAGCUUAGCUCGUAAUUUUGUUUUGUUUGUGUUAUUUUCUUUCUUACGACGUAGCACGUGUAAAUUCCAAAGUUGUAUUUUUAUUUUGUUUUGGAGCUAAUGCUGGCUGUCAGUAAAGUUUUUUAUAGAACAAAACAGUCUUUAAUUCAAAAGGGAAACGGAACCAGCUAUCGAGACAACAUCAAAAUUGAUGAACUAACAUCGGCAUCAAACAUUUUGGUCCAAUCGAGCGGAUUGGUUAGAAUAGGUAUUCUAGCCUAGGAAGGAUCAAGAAGGGUUCUGUUCUUGGGGGCAAGACCGGCUCAGUUUUUAAGGUUGUUUUUGAAACAUAAAGGAAACAGGAAGGCAGCACAAGACUAGGUGCAAACGAAAACUAAUUCAUUGUGAAAAGUGCAAGUAUUUGACGUUUGAGGUAGGUGCUAUACAUAAGAGGUGAGUGCCAAUAAAAGCAAAUUUUGUAAAAUAAAUAUUGUGGUCGUGUUUUUGUAUUUUUCACAAAUUUGUAAAAGGUUUUACUUGGGUUUCAUUUUGCAUACAAACUUAGUAGCACACUUACAAAGGUUUUGCAUAGAAUUUGACAAGGUUAUAUUAGGUUGUAAUAAAAAGGGCAUUUGUUUACACAGAUUCUUAUGCAAAUUGCAGCAAACGAUUUUACGGGCAUUUUAAAAGGUUUUGUAUAUUUUUACAAGGUUUAAGUAAAAGAUAUUUAGGUAAAGGUUUAUGUAAUAUUCUGCAGAUGGUUAGGUUGUAUUUUUCACUUUGCAUAACAUCUAACACGGUUUAGGUUAUUAAUAUUUCACAGAUGCUUGUGCAAAGUUUUGCAGAAAACAUACAUGUAUUUUGGUAGUGUUAUAUGAUAAGGUUUUAGGUUAAUAAGGUCUUUUACUAUCUAUGCAAAAACUUUGAAAGGGUUAUAUUUUUAAAUAAUUUACAUAAAUAAUAAAUAUCACACAAAAUGGCAUCUGAAGGGGAUGAAGGUAGCUCGUAUCAAGUGCGAGAGGAUUCAGAUGAAGAAUUUAAAAUUUUAAUACGAAAAAGGGGAAAUCUUAAACGUAAUUUUACAUUGCAAAAUAAUUUUUUAAGGGGUUACGAUAGUUCUAAGAUUUCUGAGGUACCCAUGCGCUUGACAAAGAUAAACGAGUGGUUUAAUGAAUUCGAAGUUAUACAGUGUCAAAUAGAAGAAAUAGACGAUUCCGAUGAUCAGUUAGAUGAGCGAGAGGCAUUCUGUAACUCAUUUUUUAAAAUAGUUGGGCAAUUAAAUAAUAUUUUAAAUCCAAUAAGGUCGCCAAAUCUAGAUGGGGGGCUGCAGAAUGACGUUGCACGCAUGCCGACCAACACAGGUACAGCUUCAAAGCCAGAGGUAAAACUUCCAGCAAUGGAAAUUCCGCAUUUUUAUGGGUCAUAUAAACAGUGGUCAGAGUUUUAUGACACUUUCAAAACGCUUGUGGAUUCCAAUCCAAAUUUGUCAGAUAUACAGAAAUUCUACUACUUAAAGGGGGCUCUUAGGGGAAGUGCGGCUGAGGUGGUACAUUCUUUGGAGGUUUCUGCUUUGAACUACUCGGAGGCAUGGAAAUUAUUAAAGGAUAGGUUUGAAAAUAAAAAACUAAUAGCCUUGAGUCACAUAGAGUCAAUGUUUAAUUUUCCUAACAUGGUUAAAGAAAAUUAUAGGGAGUUGAGAAAACUGGUUGAUGAGGUCAGAAAGGAUUUGAGGGCUUUAAAAUCAUUGGGGUUAAAGGUUGAGCACUGGGACACGUUACUGAUUUAUAUUUUUGAGGUUAAACUUGACAAUGUGACAAGAAAAGAAUGGCAAAAACAAGGGUCGGUUGAUACUUUUUCUACUAUGGAGGAAUUUUUACAAUUUUUGUCGAAUAAAUGUGCGAUUUUAGAAACGACAAAUCGUAGCAACAUCUCAGGGGGUGAACAAGGAAGUAAAAAUGUCAAACCUUUUAAACGUAACUCUAAUUUACAAUUAAACUCUUAUGGGGCAUUUAAUAAAGGGACUCAACCACGGGCUUUGUGUUUAAAAUGCAAAUCGUCAGAACAUUAUUUGCAAGGUUGUACAUCUUUUCUUAAUUUGGAUUUGCAAGGUAAAAGGGAUUUUAUAAACAAGGUUAAUUUAUGUUGGAAUUGUCUUAGACAGGGGCAUAGAGUACAUGCAUGCACGUCACAGGGUUGUCGUCGUUGUGGUGGGAAACAUCACUCUUUGCUUCACACUGAUCCAUCACGUGAGAGGAAUGAGAGGCAAGGUCAAGGGGAGGAGAAUAGCACUAGGGUUACUGGGGUCACUACAAGUGACAAUGAGGUUUUUAACGGGCACAGCAGCGCAUCUACUAGUUUACAAACUCAAGGUGAAGAAGUCUCAGACGUUUUGCUGUCAACAGCCAUCAUCAGGGUUCAAGAUGAUAAGGGAGGUCUGCAUGAAUGUAGGGCGUUACUGGAUUCAGGAUCUCAGUCUUGCUUUAUGACAAAGGAAUUGGGAGAUAAGUUGGGGCUUCUGAAACGGAAAAUUAACAUUUCAAUUUUAGGUAUAGGUCCAGGGGUCACCAACAUUACACACUCGGUUAAGGCUACAAUAAUUUCCAAAGUUUCAGAUUAUAAACACGAGAACUCAUUUUUGCUUAUUGAUAAAAUUUGCAAUAGCAUUCCAUCUAGGAAUAUUGAUGUAAGUAAGUUGAAAUUACCAGAAGGGUUAAUCUUGGCUGAUGUUUCUUUUGCAAGGUCAAACAAGGUGGAUAUUUUAUUGGGAUCUUCUAUUUUUUGGGACAUCUUACAAAGUGAAAGAAUUUCUCUAGGAAGAAAUAUGCCUGUAAUUCAAGCUACAAGAUUAGGGUAUGUCAUUGCAGGGCCCUUCGGUUUUCAAAAUAGUGCAAACACACAUUCUAGUUGCAAUUUGAGUUCUACUUUAUCGGUCCAGGAUCAGCUGGAGAAAUUCUGGGCUUUAGAGGAAGUUGGAAAGGAAAGGUGGUUAACCAGAGAGGAGGAGGCCUGCGAAAGAUUUUUUAUGGAAUCAACAACUAGACAAGAGGAUGGGAGAUUUGUUGUGAGGUUGCCAGUUCGUGAGGGCUCCGCGAAAUUGGGCGAUUCGUUUCAUGCGGCUUUAAAAAGAUUCAAUUCGUUAGAAAGGAAAUUUGAAAGGGAUAGUCAUUUGAAGGAGUUAUAUUCUGAUUUUAUUAGGGAAUACAUCAAUUUAGGGCACAUGUCCAAGAUAGACCUGGAAGAUGUCGAUAAUUCACCAGGUUUUGAAACAUAUUACUUACCUCAUCAUGCAGUGGUAAAGGAAAGCUCUUUAACCACUAAGCUUAGGGUCGUCUUCGAUGCCAGCGCUCCUAGUAGCAAUGGCGUAUCGCUUAACAACAAGCUGAUGGUGGGACCAAGGUUGCAGGAAGACAUUUUUUCCAUACUAUUGCGUUUCAGGUUGCACAAUGUGGUUAUUACGGGAGAUAUUGAAAAGAUGUUUCGGCAAGUGUGGGUUGCAAACGAGGAUAGGGAUAUGCAGCGCAUUUUAUGGCGAUUUGAUAAAGAGGGUCCUAUAGAACAUUACAGAUUAAAUACUAUUACAUAUGGAAUGGCUUGCUCUUCGUAUUUGGCAGUCAAAUGUUUACAGCAGUUGGCAAAUUCUAAUUCAGCAUGCAGUUCCAAGGUCAGCAAAGUCAUCAUGCAAGACUUUUACAUGGAUGAUUUGGAAAGUGGUGGUAGGGAUAUCGAAGAAGCAGCAUGUUUAAAGGCUGAAAUUGGCCGUUUACUUUCUGAGGGUGGGUUUGUUUUAAGGAAAUGGAGUUCAAACAAAUCUGAGGUUAUUUCAAAUGGUCAAGAAAAUCAAAAUGUCGAUCAUUAUAUUGCUCAAAAUGAUGGCGCGUCAAAGACAUUAGGAAUUUAUUGGAAUAAUCAGUCUGAUACUUUACACUAUGACAGUCUAGGAAAUGAUGUAAAAUUUAAGGGUGAGGUGGUAACAAAACGCAUGAUUUUAUCUUUAAUUUCCCAAUUAUUCGAUCCUUUAGGUUUGAUGUCACCUUUGAUUAUUAGGUCGAAAUUAAUACUGCAAGCCUUAUGGAGAGAAAAAUUAGGAUGGGAUGAGGAGGUGCCGCAACCAAUUUUACAGGGUUGGCUGGGAUUGAGCAAAGAAUUGGGGAGAUUAAAGGCAUUUCAAAUUAAACGACAUGUCUCUUGUGAGGAGGCAGAGUCCAUACAGAUUCACGGUUUUUGCGAUGCGUCUCAACGGGCGUAUGGGGCCUGUGUAUUUGUAAGAUCGGUUGAUAAAAAUGGAAGAUACUGUGUACGCCUUCUGUGUUCCAAAUCGAGGGUCGCUCCUCUAAAGGUUGUUUCGCUUCCGAGGCUAGAGCUUUGCGGAGCUCUUCUAUUGGCAAAAUUAAUAAAUUCAGUUUUACAGUCCACUAAAAUCAAACCUUCAGAAGUCAGGUUAUGGAGCGACUCUUCAAUUGUACUUUGUUGGUUGGCGGGGGAACCUUCAAAUUGGACAACGUUUGUUGCUAACAGGACGGCGGAAAUUCAAGGUAUUACAAAGGGGUUUGGCUGGUUUCAUGUUGCGUCAGAAAGCAAUCCAGCUGACCUAAUAUCCAGGGGCGUAGAUUGUGACAAUUUAUUGGAAAAUCGACUUUGGUGGCAAGGGCCUCAUUGGUUAUCAGCUGAAGAGGUUGCAUGGCCUACUUCAGGAAGGUUCAAUAUUUCAGAGAUUCCGGAGCAGAGAGCAGGAAAUUGAUGAAUACAUAAACAAAGCAAAAGAGCAAAGUUACAGACAGGUGCUGGACUUGGGACAAAAAGGUGUGACUGUUCUUAUGCAGACUGCCAUAAAGAGCGGCGGUGGAAUAGUUAACCAACUAAAAAAAUCUUA
rnacentral:misc_RNA from 1 species